rnacentral:rRNA from 1 species
UGAGCAAUCUGCCCUUCUCAUCGGAAUAAGCGUUGGAAACGACGUCUAAUGCCGAAUACGACCUCCUUUCGCAUGAUCGGAGGUGGAAAGCUCCGGCGGAGAAGGAUGGGCUCGCGGCCUAUCAGCUAGUUGGUGUGGGUAAUGGCCCACCAAGGCGACGACGGGUAGCCGGCCUGAGAGGGUGACCGGCCAUACUGGGACUGAGACACGGCCCAGACCUCCUACGAGAGCAG